ACGAGAAAACUUUGCAACUUUUCCUGCACAUAUUUCGUGACUGUUGGCGUACGCCAUUCUGACAGCAAUGAAGUUUACAAUUUGCAUUCUGUGCCAUGACGUUGUAAUUGAAUCUGAAUCACGUUGAGCUUACGUGGAAGCGCGAUCUAAAAGCAGGCCAGUCGUGGCGAAAUUUUCAAAGAAACUCCACAUCACUGCAAAUCUUUUUUUCAUCAAGAAGAAGUUGCUUUUUCUCUCUAUAGAAAUUCGCUUUACUUUCAUGGAAAUUCAGAGAUGCAAAAAUACACGGAAUACGUAUAAUACGCAAAGAUAUUCAAAAUAUCCAAAGUAUGACUCCUCGUUGUAACAUUUAGCGGCAGAAAUAUCCGUUUAAAGCGUUUGACGCAGCGAUUCGUACAAUGUUUCAAAUAAUAAACCUCGUUCUGGCUCUGUGAUCAAGGCUAAAGGUAGAAAACUUGCGAGAAAUUGAAGUUUGCACGAGGAGGUAUUUCGCUUUUUGCGAUGAACGAGCGAAUAUCGAAGAAGAAGAAGAGAGAAGGAACACAGAACAGGAAGCAGUGAAAUGCAAAGUAGAACGAGUAUCACAUGCAAGAGAAGCCGUCAAUUAGGUCGUCGAAUGGGGUCGCAACACAGUGUUUACAGAUUGUGGGUCUAAUGUUAAGUACGACACACGUUAAGCUUGACGGUUGGGAAAGUAGACGAUAAAUAAAUGUCAAGAGAAAUGUAACUAAAAAGUGCGUCCUAACCCGGAGGGGAGGACUAUGGAAAGGUGAAUCACAGAAGGACUUACCGAAGGAGAUGAGGCCGCUGUUCAGCAUCGACAGUUUAAUCUGGCUGGGAAUAGAAGCGAGGCUGUGGCCAGGAUUAAGAUGACGUUUCCUCGGUGGUUUUUCCGGCGCUCUGGGCG